rnacentral:rRNA from 1 species
AGAGUUUGAUCCUGGCUCAGGACGAACGCUUGCGGCGUGCCUAAGAAAUGCAAGUCGAACGGGCAUCAGUAAUGGUGUCAGUGGCGAACGGUCGCGUAACACGUAAGCAACCUGCCCACGAGUGGGGGAUACCGUUCCGAAAGGGACGUUAAUACCGCAUAUGCUUGAACUAACGCAUGUUUGGUUCAUGUAAAGCUUGAUGCGCUUGUGGAUGGGCUUGCGGCCUAUCAGGUAGUUGGUGGGGUAAUGGCCUACCAAGCCGUUGACGGGUAGCUGGUCUGAGAGGACGAUCAGCCGGAUUGGGACUGAGAUACGGCCCAGACUCCUACGGGGGGCAGCAAUUAGGAAUCUUGCACAAUGGGGGAAACCCUGAUGCAGCGACGUCGCGUGGAGGAUGACGGCCUUCGGGUUGUAAACUCCUUUUGGCAGGGAAGAAGAAAGUGACGGUACCUGUCGAAUAAGCCCCGGCUAACUACGUGCCAGCAGCCGCGGUAAUACGUAGGGGGCGAGCGUUGUCCGAAGUUACUGGGCGUAAAGGGCGCGUAGGCGGCCUGUUAAGUUUGAGGUGAAAGGUUCAACGCUCAACGUGAACAGUGCCUUGAAUACUGGCAGGCUUGAAUUUGGGAGAGGAUGACGGAAUUCCUGGUGUAGCGGUGAAAUGCGUAGAUAUCAGGAGGAACCCCGGUGGCGAAGGCGGUCAUCUGGCCUAAAAUUGACGCUGAGGCGCGAAAGCGUGGGGAGCGAACGGGAUUAGAUACCCCCGUAGUCC